GUCUGUGUCUUUGCAUGGAUAAUCCAUGAAGUGGGUCUCGUUUCAUUUUGUUACUUUAUUUUAUAAUUUCUACAGGUGAAGAUGUUAACCAGGCUCUCAGAAACAAUCAUGUUUCAGAGGACAUUGCAGAACAGGAUACAAAUGAAGAUGGAGAUGAGUCUGAAAACAAUGAAGAAACAAUGGAUGAAGAUGUUAACCAGGCCCUCAAAAACAAUCAUGUUGCCGAGAACUAUAAAAAACAGGACAUAAAUGAAGAUGGAGCUGAGUCUGAGAAAAAUGAAGAAGAAUGGAUGGAUGAUAAUGAAUCUGGCCAAGACCUUUACAGUUAUGAAGAGAAUAAUCAGGAAAUUAGUAAAGCCCAAGACCUCACUGGACCCGCACAAGACGGGAAUAUCAACGAUUAACAAGUUAAAUGACAAGCACUGAGCAGCAGGGACUCAGAAAUAACUAACACUUUACAAUAAGGUUAAUUUGUUAACAUUAAUGCAUUAAGUAACAUGAUCCAGCAAUGAAGAAUAUAUUUUUGCAGCAU
rnacentral:lncRNA from 1 species